rnacentral:miRNA from 1 species
CAUGUAUUCCACUCACACAUAAUUCUAUGUAUUUUAUGCAAAAUACUAAUAUUUUACCUGUAAAGAGAAUAAAAAGUAUUUGAACACAUUAAAUACAUAGAUUUAUGUGUGGGUGGAAUACAUG